rnacentral:rRNA from 1 species
UACGUAGGGUGCGAGCGUUGUCCGGAAUUAUUGGGCGUAAAGAGCUUGUAGGCGGUUUGUCGCGUCUGCCGUGAAAUUUCGAGGCUCAACCUCGAACUUGCGGUGGGUACGGGCAGACUAGAGUGUGGUAGGGGAGACUGGAAUUCCUGGUGUAGCGGUGAAAAUGCGCAGAUAUCAGGAGGAACACCGAUGGCGAAGGCAGGUCUCUGGGCAUUACCUGACGCUGAGGAGCGAAAGUGUGGGGAGGCGAAACAGG